UAGGCUGAGCCAACAACAUUUACUAAUCCCACAUGUUGUCACAAAGCAGACACCAUCCUCUAUACAAAUGACUGAGGAGCAAGCACUAAGAAGUGGGCCGCUGAAGUGAAGUGCAGAGGAAACUGUAGCAGUCAGAAGUUGAGAUGGACAUGUUUGCUUCCCCUUCUGCAACGGUUGCAAGUUUCCUGAGGCCUCUCAGCCAUGUUGAACUGUACACUGGUGACUGCUUCCACAUAGAGGUCACAUAUCGCAAAGGGCACACUGAGACCGUGGUGACCCAGGUGAAGGAAGUGGGGC